UGAAGAUGGAAAGUUGAUGCUUGUCUUAUGACCUCUGCUGCUGGUUUCAUGACUAAUGAGUCUGAGGCAAUUAAAGCCCAGUUAAGAGGGAUGAAAUCUGGUGGAUGUGUUAACCAAGUAACCAGACCAUGAAGUCUUAAAAGGCAACCACAUAGUGUGUAAAUCUAGAUAUUGAGGUCUGGUAUCUAAUACAUGAAGUUAGGAAUCUAGUUCUGACCUCCAUCAAAUUUGUCUUUUGAAGUUUUAGUGCCUGUAGUGAGACUGAAAUGAAUUAAGACCAUUCCCAACUGGGCUGAUGUUUUUGAAAGAUGUGUCAUAAUGUAGUCUGAGAGAAAAAAAGUAUUCAAGCUUUAGUCUAAAAUAAAAAUCACAUUUAUUACCACAAGUUGCAUAAAAUCAGAUAGAUACAGCUUUUACAAAAAUGUUUGAUAGAAAAAUAUUUGUCUAAGUACAAUGUGUGGUAUUACAGGAAUAACUCGCUAUUGCUGUGCCUUUAGAUAAAGCUUCAAAAGAAGUGAAAGUUCAACCAAAAUACUGAGUUUAUCUAUUGCAAACACAGGUAUCACCUCUGGAACAAACUACAUCUACUCAUUCGAGAUCCAUUACAAAAAAUACCCCUUCCUAUUACUGACUUCAUAAUAUAAACAACUCUGCUGACGAUGUGUUUGGGACUAAUAACUCAAUACCAUUCCUAAGAACAUCACUGGUUCCACAGUGCCAUUUGCUUACUUGUGCUGGGAAAGCCAAUUCCUGGUAAUGAAAACUGCAAGGAACAUUUGCCAGAUGCAAGUAGUCAGAACCUGGCUGGUGUGUGUCCCAAAGGUCACUUAGUUUAGCAUGUAGAAAUACAAACAAAAUACUUUAAUUUGGUAUAUGGGAUCUGUAGUAGCACAUCCUGCCCUAAGCACCACAGGUUAAACCAUUUUCCUCUUGACAGUAGUAGAUAUUUCAGGUACCAAAGACAUUGCAGUGUUAGAACUGAAGCAGCAAUACAGCCUUUCACUGUUGGUAUACGCAAGUAAAGUGAAAUGCUGGUACUUUGAUACAGCUCAGUGGCAGCAGCAUUUUUCUAAUAACUUUUCUUUCCCUCCCCUCAACAGAGUCUAUGACUAUUCAGAAGGUCAAAGGACUGCUCUAUCGACUAUUUAAAAUUCCUGGUUCGGAACUGAAACUGUCCUACGAAAGUUCUAAAUUGGAAGGAAAAGAAGUUGAACUAGACAAUGACUUAAAGCCUUUGCAGUUUUACUCAAUAGAAAGUGGAGACUGUGUGUUAGUACGGUGGUAAGAAGGGACUCUCUUGCUGGACUAAAGGAAAAGCUGACACAGAACUGCAAAAGAGAGACAGAGACACGGACAGCCCGUGCCUGAACAGACAUACAGGUGAAUAUGAGUUUCACAUGUGGCACCAGAGGACUGUGCAACUGUACUUUCAGCUCCUCAACUUGAUCGUCAGCCUUCAUGAAAACAUCUGCUCAUUUGUCCUACUGGAGAGAUACCAAAUAGUGCUUAAAUGCUUUAAUUAAAUAAAACUCAAAGUCACCCUUUUGCCACAAUUUUAUACUGCCUUCCCUCAGCAGUGGUGAGAAUUUGUUUUACUGAACCAAAUAAAUACAGGGUUUACUUGUGA